rnacentral:rRNA from 1 species
UGGGGAAUUUUGCACAAUGGGGGAAACCCUGAUGCAGCGACGCCGCGUGAUUUAGAAGGCCUUCGGGUUGUAAAAAUCUUUUCUAUGGGAAGAAAAUGACAGUACCAUAGGAAUAAGGACCGGCUAAUUACGUGCCAGCAGCCGCGGUAAUACGUAAGGUCCGAGCGUUGUCCGGAAUCAUUGGGCGUAAAGGGUACGUAGGCGGGUAAGCAAGUUAGAAGUGAAAUCCUAUAGCUCAACUAUAGUAAGCUUUUAAAACUGCUCAUCUUGAGGUAUGGAAGGGAAAGUGGAAUUCCUAGUGUAGCGGUGAAAUGCGCAGAUAUUAGGAGGAAUACCGGUGGCGAAGGCGACUUUCUGACCAUAACCUGACGCUGAGGUACGAAAGCGUGGGUAGCAAACAGG